rnacentral:rRNA from 1 species
UACGAAGGGUGCAAACGUUGUUCGGAAUUACUGGGCGUAAAGCGCGUGUAGGCGGCUAAGUAAGUCGGGCGUGAAAUCCCACGGCUCAACCGUGGAAGUGCACUCGAAACUGCAUAGCUAGAGUCCUGGAGAGGAAGGUGGAAUGCUUGGUGUAGAGGUGAAAUUCGUAGAUAUCAAGCGGAACACCGGUGGCGAAGGCGGCCUUCUGGACAGUGACUGACGCUGAGACGCGAAAGCGUGGGGAGCAAACAGG